rnacentral:misc_RNA from 1 species
AACGCACAUUGCGCCCUUUGGUAUUCCGAAGGGCAUGCCUGUUUGAGUGUCAUAUAGACUCAUCUAAUCGGUUUUCCGAUCUAGGUGCUUUGGACGUCUGCCGAUUUAGGCUCGUCUUAAAUGUCUAAGUGGAAUGCGUAAUAAGUUUUCGCUCCCUCCACUCUAAUAUAUUUUCAUCUCUGACCUCAAAUCAGGUAGGACUACCCGCUGAACUUAA